CAUUACUGAAGAUAUAGGGUUUUGAGACUGCGUCCUUAAAAUGGCGUGUGCUCGACUCUUACUCUUUUAUCCACACAUACCUUUGUGCACCAUGGGGGAACGUAAGUUCCCUCCUUUUCUUAUAUUACAAAUACCUAGUUUUUUUAUGCAUGUUUUAUGUGCUCUACGGAGUAAUGUACAACUUUCAACAACGGAUCUCUUGGCUUUCGCAUCGAUGAAGAACGCAGCGAACGUGCGAAACGUAAUGUGAAUUGCAGAAUUCAGUGAAUCAUCGAAUCUUUGAACGCAUCUUGCGCUCCUUGGUAUUCCGAGGAGCAUGCCUGUUUGAGUGUCGUGAACUACUCUCAAUUUCAAUUCUUUUCCUUUGGGAAAAGGAGCUGAAGUUGGAUUUGGAUGUUGCUGUGGAUGGUCACAACUCAUCUUAAAUGCAUUAGCGAUCUGUCCUUGAUCACGCACAAUGUGAUAAGAAAAGCAUUGUUAAAGAUCAAUGGUGAAGAUAGCUUCCAAUUGUCGAAAAGACAAAGCGUAAUAGCAUGUCAUUUGACCUCAAAUCAGGUAGGACUACCCGCUGAACUUAAGCAUAUC
rnacentral:rRNA from 1 species